GAUGAACGCUGGCGGCGUGCCUAAUACAUGCAAGUCGAGCGAACAGACUCGUAGUUUGCUCCUCUCACGUUUGCCGCGGACGUGUGUGUCACACGUGGAUACCCUCCCUCUCUGCCUGGGAUACCUUCGGGACUCCGUCGCUUAUCCCGGAUAAUAUAUUUUACCGUAUGGUUCUAUAGUGUUAGAUGGUUUUGCUGUCACUUCUCGAUGUAUCCGCGCCGUAUUAGCUAGGUGGCAUGGUAACGCCUUACCAAGGCGACGAUGCGUAGCCGAACUGAGAGGGUGAUAGGCCACACUGGAACUGAGACGCGGUCCAGACUCCUAAGGGAGGCAGCAGUAGGGAAUCUGACGCAAUGGGCGAAAGCCUGACGGAACAACGCCGCGUGAGUGAUGAAGGUCUUCGGAGCGGAAAAAUCUGUUAUUAGGGAAGAACAAAUGUGUAAGUAACUAUGCACGUCUUGACGGUACCUAAUCAGAAAGCCACGGCUAACUACGUG
rnacentral:rRNA from 1 species